AAGCAUAUCAAUAAGCGGAGGAAAAGAAACCAACAGGGAUUGCCCUAGUAACGGCGAGUGAAGCGGCAACAGCUCAAAUUUGAAAUCUGGCGUCUUUGGCGUCCGAGUUGUAAUUUGCAGAGGGCGCUUUGGCAUUGGCAGCGGUCCAAGUUCCUUGGAACAGGACGUCACAGAGGGUGAGAAUCCCGUACGUGGUCGCUAGCCUUUACCGUGUAAAGCCCCUUCGACGAGUCGAGUUGUUUGGGAAUGCAGCUCUAAAUGGGAGGUAAAUUUCUUCUAAAGCUAAAUACUGGCCAGAGACCGAUAGCGCACAAGUAGAGUGAUCGAAAGAUGAAAAGCACUUUGGAAAGAGAGUUAAAAAGCACGUGAAAUUGUUGAAAGGGAAGCGCUUGCAGCCAGACUUGCCUGUAGUUGCUCAUCCGGGUUUCUACCCGGUGCACUCUUCUAUAGGCAGGCCAGCAUCAGUUUGGGCGGUUGGAUAAAGGUCUCUGUCAUGUACCUCCUCUCGGGGAGAACUUAUAGGGGAGACGACAUGCAACCAGCCCGGACUGAGGUCCGCGCAUCUGCUAGGAUGCUGGCGUAAUGGCUGUAAGCGGCCCGUCUUGAAACACGGACCAAGGAGUCUAACAUCUAUGCGAGUGUUUGGGUGUCAAGCCCGAACGCGUAAUGAAAGUGAACGGAGGUGGGAACCUUUCGGGGUGCACCAUCGACCGAUCCUGAUGUCUUCGGAUGGAUUUGAGUAAGAGCAUAGCUGUUGGGACCCGAAAGAUGGUGAACUAUGCUUGAAUAGGGUGAAGCCAGAGGAAACUCUGGUGGAGGCUCGCAGCGGUUCUGACGUGCAAAUCGAUCGUCAAAUUUGGGCAUAGGGGCGAAAGACUAAUCGAACUAUCUAGUAGCUGGUUCCUG
rnacentral:rRNA from 1 species